rnacentral:rRNA from 1 species
ACUCCUACGGGAGGCAGCAGUGGGGAAUAUUGCACAAUGGGCGAAAGCCUGAUGCAGCGACGCCGCGUGAGGGAUGAAGGCCUUCGGGUUGUAAACCUCUUUCGCCAGGGAAGAAGCGAGAGUGACGGUACCUGGAGAAGAAGCACCGGCUAACUACGUGCCAGCAGCCGCGGUAAU